rnacentral:rRNA from 1 species
GAGUUUGAUCUUGGCUCAGAUUGAACGCUGGCGGCAGGCCUAACACAUGCAAGUCGAGCGGAUGACGGGAGCUUGCUCCCUGAUUCAGCGGCGGACGGGUGAGUAAUGCCUAGGAAUCUGCCUGGUAGUGGGGGACAACGUUUCGAAAGGAACGCUAAUACCGCACUACGUCCUACGGGAGAAAGCAGGGGACCUUACGGGCCUUGCGCUAUCAGAUGAGCCUAGGUCGGAUUAGCUAGUUGGUGGGGUAAUGGCUCACCAAGGCGACGAUCCGUAACUGGUCUGAGAGGAUGAUCAGUCACACUGGAACUGAGACACGGUCCAGACUCCUAC